CGGUGGCGAUGUCGUUGUAUUUAUCGAACUGUAAAAAACAACAACACAAAAAAAAACUGUCGAGGACGUCUUCUAUCGGAUUAAAUGCGAGCUACGGGCAGCAGACAUCCAUACGCGACUUCCUGCUUCUCGUUUGCCACGCCCACUUUGACAAUUGAUCCAACCAACGUGCAAGGAAGUAGCGCGUCAAAUUGCGUGUUCAAACGUUGGAACACGUGCUUGAUAUGAGUUUAUUGUUGUCUUGUGCCACAAUAAAAAGGAUGUUAAUUAA